rnacentral:rRNA from 1 species
AACGCUAGCUACAGGCUUAACACAUGCAAGUCGAGGGGAAACGAUAGAGAAAGCUUGCUUUUUCUAGGCGUCGACCGGCGCACGGGUGAGUAACGCGUAUCCAACCUGCCCAUCACUUGGGGAUAACCUUGCGAAAGUAAGACUAAUACCCAAUGAUAUCUCUAGAAGACAUCUGAAAGGGAUUAAAGAUUUAUCGGUGAUGGAUGGGGAUGCGUCUGAUUAGCUUGUUGGCGGGGUAACGGCCCACCAAGGCGACGAUCAGUAGGGGUUCUGAGAGGAAGGUCCCCCACAUUGGAACUGAGACACGGUCCAAACUCCUACGGGAGGCAGCAGUGAGGAAUAUUGGUCAAUGGACGAGAGUCUGAACCAGCCAAGUAGCGUGCAGGAAGACGGCCCUAUGGGUUGUAAACUGCUUUUAUAAGGGAAUAAAGUGAGAGUCGUGACUCUUUUUGCAUGUACCUUAUGAAUAAGGACCGGCUAAUUCCGUGCCAGCAGCCGCGGUAAUACGGAAGGUCCGGGCGUUAUCCGGAUUUAUUGGGUUUAAAGGGAGCGUAGGCCGGAGAUUAAGCGUGUUGUGAAAUGUAGACGCUCAACGUCUGCACUGCAGCGCGAACUGGUUUCCUUGAGUACGCACAAAGUGGGCGGAAUUCGUGGUGUAGCGGUGAAAUGCUUAGAUAUCACGAAGAACUCCGAUUG